GGCGACAUGGUCGAGUGAUUUAGGCAGAGGUCUGCAAAACCUUGUACACCGGUUUGAAUCCGGUUGUCGCCUCCA
rnacentral:tRNA from 2 species